CCCCUCACUGAUUGUGAGCUCAUUAGUUAUAUCCUUGUAAUCCUUGGUUCGGAUUAUGAUCCACUUAUAACCUCCCUGACUACUCGCCUUGAACCCAUGAAUCUUUAGGAGACAUAUGACCAUCUUCUCAAUUAUGACC